UAGGCGGGGCUUCCACGGAGGCCUCCGUGUAGGCCUCUGUGAAGCCUGAACUCGAGUAGGGCCCAAGGAAGCCAGGAAGGAGGAGGCAGCCAGAGUGGCCACCACUGGUCUCUGCAGCAGAAGACCCCUUGCUGCCAGGUAGUCUCCAAUCCCAACAUGGGGGCUGAACUGCACUAGUUUCUCCCUUCUACAGGAUUUUGUUUCCUGCUCAAGAUUGUGGGAAUGCUGUGGACAUAAUUUAUUUUGAUUUCAGCAAAGCACUUGACAAGAUCCUCAUGGUUAGCACACUGGUCAGAUGUGAGCUGGAUGAUGAUAUCAUUAUGUGGAUUCACAACUGGAAAACCACACUUCAAGAGUGCUCAUCAGUGGCUCCUCAUCAAGCUUCAAGCAGAUUACUCCUUGAGGUGUCUCAGGGCUAUGUUCUGGGUUGGAUACUUAUCAACAUGUUUAGCAAUUAGUUAGAUGACGGGGUGGUGUGGAUCCUCAUAAAAUCUGCAUAUGACACAAAACUUGGAGGGAUUGCUAAAAGAAGACAGGAAUAAAAUUCAAAAUGACCUUGAUAAAAUGGAAUAUCAUGCUGGAACUACUAACAAAAUCGAAUUCAACAGAGACAAAUGCAAAACUCUGCACUUUGGCGAGAAAAAUAAAAUACAUAGAUAUCACCUGGGAGACACCUAACUUGGUAACAGCACACCUGAGAAGGAUUUCAAGAUUGCAGUCACAAGCUGAACAUUAGUCAGUGAUGUGAUACCACUGCAAAAAAGGAUCCUAUAAGGGUUUGUUGGAAAGGAUAAAAAUUUGCAAAUUCCUGCCUGCAACCUUGGAGAAGCCGCUGCCAAUCUGUAGACAAUACUGAACUAGAUGGACCAUGGUAUGUGGCAGCUUCCUAUAUUCCUAUGUAAGUCAAGAAUAUCUCAACAAGAAAAGAAAUCUAGGAUAAUAUUGUGAUAUGAUGGAUUCCUAUUUCUUGAACAGCAUGAUAAGACUUCACAGGGUGUGUGUGUGUGUGUGUGUGUGUGUGUGUGUGUAGAAUAUACUUCCUUGCCACUCUUUUGUUGUUGUUGUUUGAAAACUGAAAUUCAUUCUGGCCUACCCUCUGAAGUUAGCGAUUCUGAUGAGGCACAAUGUAUGAAAUUAUACAAUAUAGAAGAAUGAUAUUAAUCAGAGUUAUUCACCAUGGCUUUACCUGCAACCACUGGAAAUGGGAAAAGUACAGUAUAAAUCUGAUUGGUUAUUCCUGUCGUCCUAGCUUCUGAAUAUGAAAUGGGUCCCUUCAUUCUGCUAUGACAGAUAAAAUACAUAUGGGAAAAUUUAUUCAUUUUAUUUCAU